AGUCGCCAUUUUGCUCCUAGAGAGGCCGCCAGGAGACCCGGCGCUUUCUUCCUUCUGCAGCUGAGGCUGCGGCGGGGCCGGGGCUGGGGUCGGGGCCAGAAUUCAGCGGGGUGCCAAGUCGUUUUCUGUGUGGGUUGAGAGACAGGCUGUGCAGCCCACUGUUGCAUAGGACUAACUACUACAAAUCAUGCUGAGACCGAGCUAUUUUUGCUGCUUAGAGGCUUUGCAGCCUUGAGUUAUAUCUCUUGUCUGGAAGGUAAAGGCUGAGGCCCAGCAAGGACAAGUGAUGUCCACAUGGCCUAGUAGCUGGAAGGCAAACCCAACUCUUCACACUCCUACUUCAGCCAUCUUUAAGUAGAAGGAGGAAUUUUGUUGUCAGAGAAUAAAAGGAGGUUGUCCAUAAUUGACUUUAAGCAGCAAUCAGUAAAACAUUGAGCUCUUCAGCUCCGCCUUUCUUGCUCUGAAAAUUGGAAAACCAAGAAGGUUUUGAUGUUUUGUGUGACGCCACCUGAAUUAGAAACCAAGAUGAACAUAACCAAAGGUGGUCUGGUGUUGU
rnacentral:lncRNA from 1 species